UUCCUGCGGUCACACAGCCACUUGAGUAUGGAACAAACGCGGGCCGUCUGGUUUGCAGCUUACCCUGCUUGUUUCCAAGCGGGGUGAUGCAAUUUCACAAAGCCUUCUGUUUCCCCUCCCUUCCUGGGUGCCCAUCCCAUCUCCUGUCUCCCCAGCCAGUAUGUUAUUUAGCUCAAAAUAAUCUUGUGGUCAGUAGCUUGAGCUUGGAGGUCAGAGCAUCUCCCUCAAAGGACCAGCUUUUCUCAGGCCUCCACAUCCCCUCCUGUAUGUGGAUUGUCAGAGUGAGGAAGAUCACCAGAGGAAACAUGGCUAGCACUCGGAGGGGGUUGGGGGAAGUGGAGGGGAGUGGGGGGGGGGACAGGACCAGGGCCUUACUGGUAAAUGGUGUGACCCAUUACCAGGAGGUGGCCUCCCUGCCCCUUCCCUCAAGAAUAAAAACCCAAGCUGUAGCUUCUGUUCAUCAAAA
rnacentral:lncRNA from 1 species